rnacentral:rRNA from 1 species
CAAGCGUUGUCCGGAUUUAUUGGGCGUAAAGCGCGCGCAGGCGGUUCUUUAAGUCUGGUGUUUAAGUGCGGGGCUCAACCCCGUGACGCACUGGAAACUGGGGAACUUGAGUGCAGAAGAGGAGAGCGGAAUUCCACGUGUAGCGGUGAAAUGCGUAGAGAUGUGGAGGAACACCAGUGGCGAAGGCGGCCCUCUGGACUGUAACUGACGCUGAGGCGCGAAAGCGUGGGGAGCAAACAGG